GACGUAGGGUCCAAGCGUUGUCCGGAUUUACUGGGCGUAAAGGGCUCGUAGGCGGCCAACUAAGUCAGACGUGAAAUCCCUCGGCUUAACCGGGGAACUGCGUCUGAUACUGAAGAUCUUGAGUUCGGGAGAGGUGAGUGGAACUGCGAGUGUAGAGGUGAAAUUCGUAGAUAUUCGCAAGAACACCAGUGGCGAAGGCGGCUCACUGGCCCGAUACUGACGCUGAGGCACGAAAGCGUGGGGAGCAAACAGG
rnacentral:rRNA from 1 species